rnacentral:pre_miRNA from 1 species
CAUUGUCUUCACGAGUCUGUACGCGAUAUUGAAAUCGUUCGCCUCGUGUGAGGCUAAGG